rnacentral:rRNA from 1 species
GCACGACCCCAGUCAGGCGGGCC